rnacentral:rRNA from 1 species
GUCCACGCCCUAAACGAUGUCAACCAGGUGUUGGGGGAGGAGACUUCCUUAGUACCGCAGCUAACGCGUGAAGUUGACCGCCUGGGGAGUACGGUCGCAAGAUUAAAACUCAAAGGAAUUGACGGGGACCCGCACAAGCGGUGGAUUAUGUGGAUUAAUUCGAUGCAACGCGAAAAACCUUACCUACCCUUGACAUGCCCGAAACUUGCCAGAGAUGGCUUGGUGCCCGAAAGGGAAUCGGGACACAGGUGCUGCAUGGCUGUCGU